CAGUUUCUUUUUACCUUCGUAUAAAAAUAUACUUUAUUUGGCAGAGCAAGCCCUGUUGACCUCUGCCAAAUCAUACUUAAUAAAAUGCUUCGCUGAGGCAACCUGAUACGACCGCAGAGGUCUAACCCUGAACAGUUGGGGCAGGUUUGGACACAAUAUUCAAGCUUGAUACUGUCUGAAUUUGGAUUGUGAUCAAACUUUUGACAUAAUAUAGGUUUCUGACACAAAAUAAAUGUGGUCAAAGAUCUUAAAAAUUUGAAAUGGGACAUUUAAUUUACCUAGUAUGGUCUGAUAUCCAAAAUCUAACAACAUGGUUAGAUUCAUCAUAGUAAAACACCAAAAAUUUAAUUUUAGUUGAAAUCAAACAAAGUUUAAUUUUGGACCCUUCAAACCUUAAUAUGGACUAAUUUGAAAACAGGGCCCAAAAUAAAAAAUCUAAAUGCACAAUAAGUUUCAGCAUAUCAUAGAGCGGCAACAAUUCAGUUUUUCAUGAAAUCAAACAAAGUUUAAUUUUGGACCCUUUGGGCCUCAAUGUAGACCAAUUUAAAAAUGGGGCCCAAUAUCCAAAAAAAGUAAUACAAGGUUAGAACCCCCAAAAAUGAAAGACUUAAUUUAAUCCCAUUGAAAUAAGUUAAAAGAUUUGUAUUUAUUUUCAAUUGAAGAUUUCUUGCUAUUGCGCAAUACUGUGCUAUUGCACAAUACUGUGCUGUUGCACAACACUUAGUUAAUCUGUUAUAUAUAAUAAUUUACACACCCUGUUUGGUGUGUAUCUCCUGCCAUAUCAGUAUUUGUUGCUUUUAUAUAUAAAUCAGAAAUAAUCAAUGUAAAAAUGGAAAAUUUUUGGGAAUAAAAAUAAAAAACUCUUGAAGAAAAAAAGAAUGACCCCCCCCCCCCC